UUGGAGGGCAAGUCUGGUGCCAGCAGCCGCGGUAAUUCCAGCUCCAAUAGCGUAUAUUAAAGUUGUUGCAGUUAAAAAGCUCGUAGUUGAAUUUCGGGGUUCUACCGUUGGUCGGGCUUUGUCUGUACUGGUGUGUAGAAUUUCUACCUUCUGGGGAACCAUCAUGCUAUUAAUUUAGCGUGGUGGGAAACCAGGACCUUUACCUUGAAAAAAUUAGUGUGUUCAAAGCAGGCUUGUGUCUGAAUACAUUAGCGUGGAAUAAUAGAAUAGGACGGUGGUCCUGUUUUGUUGGUUUCUGAAUCACCGUAAUGAUUAAUAGGGAUAGUUGGGGGCAUUAGUAUUCAAUUGUCAGAGGUGAAAUUCUUGGAUUUAUUGAAGACUAACUUCUGCGAAAGCAUUUGCCAAGGAUGUUUUCAUUAAUCAAGAACGAAAGUUAGGGGAUCGAAGACGAUCAGAUACCGUCGUAGUCUUAACCAUAAACUAUGCCGACUAGGGAUCGGACGAUGUUAAUUUUUCUUGACUCGUUCGGCGCCUUACGGGAAAC
rnacentral:rRNA from 1 species